UACGAAGGGGGCUAGCGUUGCUCGGAAUUACUGGGCGUAAAGCGCACGUAGGCGGGUCUUUAAGUCAGGGGUGAAAUCCUGGAGCUCAACUCCAGAACUGCCUUUGAUACUGAGGAUCUUGAGUUCGGGAGAGGUGAGUGGAACUGCGAGUGUAGAGGUGAAAUUCGUAGAUAUUCGCAAGAACACCAGUGGCGAAGGCGGCUCACUGGCCCGAUACUGACGCUGAGGCACGAAAGCGUGGGGAGCAAACAGG
rnacentral:rRNA from 1 species